CCUACGGGGGGCAGCAGUGGGGAAUAUUGGACAAUGGGGGGAACCCUGAUCCAGCCAUGCCGCGUGUGUGAAGAAGGCCCUCGGGUUGUAAAGCACUUUCAGUGAGGAAGAACGCCUGGUGGUUAAUACCCAUCAGGAAAGACAUCACUCACAGAAGAAGCACCGGCUAACUCCGUGCCAGCAGCCGCGGUAAUACGGAGGGUGCGAGCGUUAAUCGGAAUUACAGGGCGUAAAGCGCGCGUAGGUGGCUUGAUAAGCCGGUUGUGAAAGCCCCGGGCUCAACCUGGGAACGGCAUCCGGAACUGUCAAGCUAGAGUGCAGGAGAGGAAGGUAGAAUUCCCGGUGUAGCGGUGAAAUGCGUAGAGAUCGGGAGGAAUACCAGUGGCGAAGGCGGCCUUCUGGACUGACACUGACACUGAGGUGCGAAAGCGUGGGUAGCAAACAGGAUUAGAUACCCGGGUAGUC
rnacentral:rRNA from 1 species